rnacentral:tRNA from 1 species
UCCCUGGUAGCUCAGAUGGUAAAGCAUCUGCCUACAGUGCAGGAGACCAGGGUUCGAUUCCUGGCUCUGGAA